AGGAUGAAGACAAAUGGACUUCAUACAUGACUUUGCACACAUCCAAGCUAUCAUAUCAUGUCAUAUAACUUAAACCAAUAGCUGGUAGCUUAUCAUUAUCCUAAGCCUGAGGCAGCUAAGUCCUUUGCUAUGUUUCAGUAAAAAUUAUAAAACAAUUCAGCUGUCUUCACAUGGUUGUUGCAAACUGAUGAUCGCUUGGCUUCUCAGUCAUAAAAGCAUGGUGCAAAAUUAAUUGUUUCAAUCAAUCAAUUGGUCAAUUUCAUAGCCAUCAAGCUUUGCCCAAGAUCAUGUGCAUUCUCUCUACCCUUCUCCUUCAGGAUGGGCCUGGAGAAUGCCACAUGAUUUAUGGGCCUCUGUGUGUGCUGCAUACAUAUACAAAUACUAUACACACAUGCUGACAAGCAAGAGGCAAACGCAUACACGUAUGCACAUAGACAUGCACGUUAGUACAGUGUACGCACGCAUUCCAAGCGGAUGACACACAGCAGGAGGGCGGAUCACGUGAGGAAGCAGGAUGAGAGCACGGAGGGAACUCUUGGUGUAUGCUAAGGGAGUGUGCACGGCAUUGGGUGGCAACACAGAUCUGCCGGGGAGUCCUCUUGUCCAUGGAAGUAAAUUAUCACUAAUCUCAUUACUGGCCAAUGAUAGUGACGAGAAACAUUGAUCAAACGGCACGGAGAGCACUGUUUAUUCAUCUAUAAACCUGCUGUAUCAUGUAUAUCCAAUCUAGCAGUGCUCCUGAUGCGGUUAGGGGCUGUGACAAGUCUCCGGGCGGGGGAACCGAGCGGAGCGGAGCGAAGGAACGGGGUGACGAAGAGGACACGACAUCUGGAGAACACGCAGAAAAAAAAACAUAAAGAAUGCAGCAGAGAGAGAGAGAGAGAGAGGCUGCGUGAAGUGUCUGCAUAGCGCCCUGAGCCUCUGAGCCAUUGACCUCUGACCCCCAGGCAGGUUCACCAGCGGGUCAGGAGCCUGGCGGGGGGAGACGGGGAGAGAGGAGGGGUGGAAGGUCUGUUAUUGGGGGAUGCCAGCUUCCUCCUUUGGCCAUGGAUACAGCCUUCACCGCUGCUGCCAUAGCAACUGGACGAGACGGCAGAGAGAGCAGACUGCGGAGAGCUGCUGGGAUGGAGCUCUCUCUUCUGUGAUCUGGCUGUAACCUCCACGGGCACUCGCACAUGUUCACGCAUACACACACAUGCACGCAGUCACACUGACAUGCACACAUAAUGACAAACUGGCACCCAGACACAAUCCCAUACGUGCUUGCAAAAUCUAAUCAAAUUUCUUAUUUGGACUGCCAGGCUGUGCUGGAAAAGACUUUUUCAAGUUACAAGAUUGAUGGGCAUUCCAUGUUGGCUGCAAUUAAUUGCUGCAUAAUUAGACUUACAAGUUAUUUAUUGAAGCAAUUUGGAGAAUACAAGAGCCGGGGGAUAUAUUAAAAACAUUUGAUCACGAGCCGCAUAAACUUUAAAGAUGUCCUCUUACAAGCAUUAUUUGGACAGAAAUUAGCAAUACGACCCCUUCCCCCCAAAAUGUUCCCCAUGUUAAUAAAAUAAUAAAUGAUAAUAAAUCUGAACUAAAGUGAGUGAUAUGCUGCACGUCGUGUGAGGUCAAGUAAAGGUGAGCAAUGCAGAUAAUAAAAAUAAUAUGAUGGAGGGAGAGAUAGUGGUUUGCUCACAUUUUUGGUGCAUGCAGGUGUUUGAAGCUCUGAACCAGCAUGCUUAUCUUGUAGAGCCUCAGGGUUUAGGGCUCAGUCCAGGU